UAGGGAAUCUUCGGCAAUGGGGGGAACCCUGACCGAGCAACGCCGCGUGAGUGAAGAAGGUUUUCGGAUCGUAAAGCUCUGUUGUUAAGGAAGAACGAGUGUGAGAAUGGAAAGUUCAUACUGUGACGGUACUUAACCAGAAAGGGACGGCUAACUACGUGCCAGCAGCCGCGGUAAUACGUAGGUCCCGAGCGUUGUCCGGAUUUAUUGGGCGUAAAGCGAGCGCAGGCGGUUAGAUAAGUCUGAAGUUAAAGGCAGUGGCUCAACCAUUGUAGGCUUUGGAAACUGUUUAACUUGAGUGCAGAAGGGGGGAGUGGAAUUCGAUGUGUAGCGGUGAAAUGCGUAGAUAUAUGGAGGAACACCGGUGGCGAAAGCGGCUCUCUGGUCUGUAACUGACGCUGAGGCUCGAAAGCGUGGGGAGCGAACAGG
rnacentral:rRNA from 1 species